AGACAUAAUAAUAACAGCCUUCCUCAGAGGGUUGCUGGAGGAGUAGAUGAGGUGCUGCAUGCAGAGUCCCGAGAACUAUGCUGUCGCCCAGGAAGGUGUGGACAAUCAGGCAAGUGACUGCAUGUGACAACAGAGAGAGGGCAUGGCACACGGUGGCAGAUGAGCCCGGGACUGGAGGCAGAUCUGGGUUCCAGUUCCGGCUCUACCAGCAGCACCCAUGUGUCCUUCUGUUCUCUGGGCUCAAUUUCCUGUUGUAAAAUUCAAAACUUGGAAGAGUUGUUUUUCAGAAACCCGGGCCCCCAUCAAUGGAAAAUGCCAUCCACUAGCACGGAGACUUCAGCUGGGAGCCGAGGACUGAACUCAGACCACCAUUCUUUGUUCAACAUUUCUUCCUGAGGGGCCUGGAGGAAGUCACGCCCACAGGCCAGAGCUCAACAUUCCUUUCUGCUGACCCCAGUUCCAGCUCUGUUCCUCCUGCUCCCGACCUGACUACUCCAGUAACUGGUCCUGCCCUCGGAAGCAUGUUGUAUCUGCUGUGGAGUGAUCUUCGUUCCUGAAUGCUGAUGGCUGUACCCGAAAGCAGAGGUGUCACCCAGGACUGUGAAGCUGGAGGGAAGGGGUCUACCCCUGGGUCCUUACCUGACACUCCCUGCCCAUGAGGAACCAUCAAAGUCGCAUCCCCAGUAUGGCUUCUGCAUCCCCCAAAGGGACGAAUACCAGGCAAAAGGAAGAGGAAGGGAUUGAGACACGGCUUCAGGAGUUCAACUGAAUCCACCCUCUUCCAACCAGCCUUACGGGUGUCAAGCAAAGGACACAAAAUGAUCUCGGAAACAGCACCACAGCCCUUCUGAAAUUUGGGGACAACUAGCUUUUUUGACGCUGUGUAGCCUGUGAUGGGGGUAGAGCUCAGUAAUAGAGUGUUUGACUGCGUGUAGCCCGUGAGUUCUGGCCUUAUUAUUAAAGUU